AGGAGCUGGAGUUUCCCUGCUUCGCUCAAGCGUGACUCAUUCCGCGUCCCCCCUCCCCCGGCUCCUUCCUUGCCCCCGGAGAUUCCACGGAGGAAGUGGGGGGCGAGGGCAAGCGGGAGCGAUCUAGGCAAGAUUCGGCGAAGAGGGAGGGCGGCCGGCCGGCCCUCAGGAUCCGCGGGGAGGAGACGUGGGGGAAGGAGCUGGCAGAUCUCCGGCUCUCUCCAGCAAGCCUCUGCGUGGCGGGGCGCCUGGCCACGUGUUUUUAGUGGGAUGCGGGCUCUCGCGUACAGAUCCUCAAAGAGUGUGCAACUUUUAAGAAUGUAUACCGAGAUGGGCAACUAAUUAAUUAAAUAAAAUGCAGAUCACGUAUCGAACAUAUGGAUAUCAGUGGAUGAAGGCAGUUUCUUGGAAGCCAGAAAUAUAAUGAGGUUAAUCACAUUUCCCCCACACAUUGUAUUCUCUGUAUUUUGAUGUUUGAUGUGAUAGCUAACUCUGCUCCUUUCUUUUUUUAAUGUUAUGAAUGCAACAGUAAGCUUAUUGCACAGAAGGAUUGGUGAAUAUGUCAAGUUGAAUGUUGUGAGUUGUCUUCCCUGACUUAGGCUUGGGAAAUAACCAAACAGUGACUCUACUGAGUGGGAAAACGAGCAUUCAAUCUUCCAGGCGUACCCACUUAUUUUCUGAGUUAUAAAUAACAUCAUUUGGAAAGAUAUUGGAUCAGUUUCUUAGCAAUCAAAGAUGGCUGUAAACAAAUCAUUGAUUCUCAGAGUGGAAGGACAAAACACUGAAGUAGCUGAAGAAAGCAUGCAUUUGCAGCCGGAAAGGAGCAGUAAUUAAAGCCAGUAUUGCAGGUGAAAAGUUAUGCAGCAGAAUGUGUGAUUCGAAUCCAUCUCCCUAGGACCUGAGCUGGUGGAGCAGCUGGUGUUCUUGAAAGUAAAUCUCAACUCCUGCAAUAUCCCAGGAAAAACCUGGAAACAGAAGGAGUGCCAUCCUUGCUUUGUUAUAUGCUGUUGCUAUGUUUAUCUUUUCUUUUAUGUACACUGAGAGCAUAUGCACCAAGACAAAUUCCUUGUGUGUCCAAUCACACUUGGCCAAUAAAAAAUUCUAUUCUAUUCUAUUCUAUUCUAUAUGUUCUUAUUUGGAUUGCUUUGCAUCUGCUCAGAGCAAGUAAUCCCACUCCAGUCAGCAGGGUCCACAGCACUGACUGACUGAACGAUGCAUGCAAUCGUGUCUUCAUACAAAUUUCACUAUUAUUAUUAGCAUUCUGAGUUCUUGUACAAAGAUGUAAGUCAUAGCAUUUACAUGACAUCAUGAACAGAAUGUUCUCCUGCUCCCUCUUGCAAAGGGUAACAUUUGGAACAGAUGUUUUGUAAUU